AUUGAACGCUGGCGGCAGGCCUAACACAUGCAAGUCGAACGGUAACAGGAAACAGCUUGCUGUUUCGCUGACGAGUGGCGGACGGGUGAGUAAUGUCUGGGAAACUGCCUGAUGGAGGGGGAUAACUACUGGAAACGGUAGCUAAUACCGCAUAACGUCGCCAGACCAAAGAGGGGGACCUUCGGGCCUCUUGCCAUCGGAUGUGCCCAGCUGGGAUUAGCUAGUGGGUGGGGUAACGGCUCACCUAGGCGGCGAUCCCUAGCUGGUCUGAGAGGAUGACCAGCCACACGGGAACUGAGACACGGUCCAUACUCCUGCGGGAGGCAGCAGUGUGGAAUAGUGCGCAAUGGGGGCAAGUCUUAUGCAGCCAUGCCGCGUGUAUGAAGAAGGCCCUCGGGUUGUAAAGUACGUUCAGCGGGGAGGAAGGGAGUAAAGUUAAUACCUUUGCUCAUUGACGUUACCCGCAGAAGAAGCACCGGCUAACUCCGUG
rnacentral:rRNA from 1 species